CUCCGGUGAAUCCCGCCGGACCCGACUGCUAUCGGAUUGAGAUUUAGCCAUGCGAGUCGAACGUCCCCCUGUUGCGGGGGGCGUGGCGUACGGCUCAGUAACACGUAGUCAACCUGCCCUGGAGACAAGGACAACCCCGGGAAACUGGGAUUAAUCCUUGAUAGGUCAUCUCAUCUGGAAGGAGAGAUGGCUUAAAGGGGUACGCGGGCUUCUUCCGCGAAUCUGCUCCAGGAUGGGACUGCGUCCGAUCAGGCUGUUGGCGGGGUAAUGGCCCACCAAACCUGUAACCGGUACGGGCCUUGAGAGAGGUGGCCCGGAGAUGGACACUGAGAGAAGGGUCCAGGUCCUACGGGGCGCAGCAGGCGCGAAACCUUCGCAAUGCGCGAAAGCGUGACGAGGUUAAUCCGAGUGACUCCCGCUGAGGGGGUCUUUUGUCAGCUGUAAAUAGGCAGGCGAAUAAGGGGAGGGCAAGCCUGGUGUCAGCCGCCGCGGUAAUACCAGCUCCUCGAGUGGUCGGGGCGAUUAUUGGGCCUAAAGCAUCCGUAGCCGGUUCCGUAGGUCCUCUGUUAAAUCCAACCGCUUAACGGUUGACCUGCAGAGGAUACCGCGGGACUAGGAGGCGGGAGAGGCGGACGGUACUCCGCGUGUAGGGGUAAAAUCCUUUGAUCCGCGGAAGACCACCAGUGGCGAAGGCGGUCCGCCAGAACGCGCUCGACGGUGAGGGAUGAAAGCUGGGGGAGCGAACCGGAUUAGAUACCCGGGUAGUCCCAGCCGUAAACGAUGCUAGCUAGAUGAUUCAUUCGCAAGUCGCGAAUGAAGUGUCGCAGGGAAGCCGUUAAGCUAGCCGCCUGGGGAGUACGGUCGCAAGACUGAAACUUAAAGGAAUUGGCGGGGGAGCA
rnacentral:rRNA from 1 species